UUAAGCGACUAAGCGUACACGGUGGAUGCCCUGGCAGUCAGAGGCGAUGAAGGACGUGCUAAUCUGCGAUAAGCGUCGGUAAGGUGAUAUGAACCGUUAUAACCGGCGAUUUCCGAAUGGGGAAACCCAGUGUGUUUCGACACACUAUCAUUAACUGAAUCCAUAGGUUAAUGAGGCGAACCGGGGGAACUGAAACAUCUAAGUACCCCGAGGAAAAGAAAUCAACCGAGAUUCCCCCAGUAGCGGCGAGCGAACGGGGAGNAGCCCAGAGCCUGAAUCAGUGUGUGUGUUAGUGGAAGCGUCUGGAAAGGCGCGCGAUACAGGGUGACAGCCCCGUACACAAAAAUGCACAUGCUGUGAGCUCGAUGAGUAGGGCGGGACACGUGGUAUCCUGUCUGAAUAUGGGGGGACCAUCCUCCAAGGCUAAAUACUCCUGACUGACCGAUAGUGAACCAGUACCGUGAGGGAAAGGCGAAAAGAACCCCGGCGAGGGGAGUGAAAAAGAACCUGAAACCGUGUACGUACAAGCAGUGGGAGCACGCUUCGGCGUGUGACUGCGUACCUUUUGUAUAAUGGGUCAGCGACUUAUAUUCUGUAGCAAGGUUAACCGAAUAGGGGAGCCGAAGGGAAACCGAGUCUUAACUGGGCGUUAAGUUGCAGGGUAUAGACCCGAAACCCGGUGAUCUAGCCAUGGGCAGGUUGAAGGUUGGGUAACACUAACUGGAGGACCGAACCGACUAAUGUUGAAAAAUUAGCGGAUGACUUGUGGCUGGGGGUGAAAGGCCAAUCAAACCGGGAGAUAGCUGGUUCUCCCCGAAAGCUAUUUAGGUAGCGCCUCGUGAANUCAUCUCCGGGGGUAGAGCACUGUUUCGGCAAGGGGGUCAUCCCGACUUACCAACCCGAUGCAAACUGCGAAUACCGGAGAAUGUUAUCACGGGAGACACACGGCGGGUGCUAACGUCCGUCGUGAAGAGGGAAACAACCCAGACCGCCAGCUAAGGUCCCAAAGUCAUGGUUAAGUGGGAAACGAUGUGGGAAGGCCCAGACAGCCAGGAUGUUGGCUUAGAAGCAGCCAUCAUUUAAAGAAAGCGUAAUAGCUCACUGGUCGAGUCGGCCUGCGCGGAAGAUGUAACGGGGCUAAACCAUGCACCGAAGCUGCGGCAGCGACGCUGAUGCGUUGUUGGGUAGGGGAGCGUUCUGUAAGCCUGCGAAGGUGUGCUGUGAGGCAUGCUGGAGGUAUCAGAAGUGCGAAUGCUGACAUAAGUAACGAUAAAGCGGGUGAAAAGCCCGCUCGCCGGAAGACCAAGGGUUCCUGUCCAACGUUAAUCGGGGCAGGGUGAGUCGACCCCUAAGGCGAGGCCGAAAGGCGUAGUCGAUGGGAAACAGGUUAAUAUUCCUGUACUUGGUGUUACUGCGAAGGGGGGACGGAGAAGGCUAUGUUGGCCGGGCGACGGUUGUCCCGGUUUAAGCGUGUAGGCUGGUUUUCCAGGCAAAUCCGGAAAAUCAAGGCUGAGGCGUGAUGACGAGGCACUACGGUGCUGAAGCAACAAAUGCCCUGCUUCCAGGAAAAGCCUCUAAGCAUCAGGUAACAUCAAAUCGUACCCCAAACCGACACAGGUGGUCAGGUAGAGAAUACCAAGGCGCUUGAGAGAACUCGGGUGAAGGAACUAGGCAAAAUGGUGCCGUAACUUCGGGAGAAGGCACGCUGAUAUGUAGGUGAGGUCCCUCGCGGAUGGAGCUGAAAUCAGUCGAAGAUACCAGCUGGCUGCAACUGUUUAUUAAAAACACAGCACUGUGCAAACACGAAAGUGGACGUAUACGGUGUGACGCCUGCCCGGUGCCGGAAGGUUAAUUGAUGGGGUCAGCGCAAGCGAAGCUCUUGAUCGAAGCCCCGGUAAACGGCGGCCGUAACUAUAACGGUCCUAAGGUAGCGAAAUUCCUUGUCGGGUAAGUUCCGACCUGCACGAAUGGCGUAAUGAUGGCCAGGCUGUCUCCACCCGAGACUCAGUGAAAUUGAACUCGCUGUGAAGAUGCAGUGUACCCGCGGCAAGACGGAAAGACCCCGUGAACCUUUACUAUAGCUUGACACUGAACAUUGAGCCUUGAUGUGUAGGAUAGGUGGGAGGCUUUGAAGUGUGGACGCCAGUCUGCAUGGAGCCGACCUUGAAAUACCACCCUUUAAUGUUUGAUGUUCUAACGUUGACCCGUAAUCCGGGUUGCGGACAGUGUCUGGUGGGUAGUUUGACUGGGGCGGUCUCCUCCUAAAGAGUAACGGAGGAGCACGAAGGUUGGCUAAUCCUGGUCGGACAUCAGGAGGUUAGUGCAAUGGCAUAAGCCAGCUUGACUGCGAGCGUGACGGCGCGAGCAGGUGCGAAAGCAGGUCAUAGUGAUCCGGUGGUUCUGAAUGGAAGGGCCAUCGCUCAACGGAUAAAAGGUACUCCGGGGAUAACAGGCUGAUACCGCCCAAGAGUUCAUAUCGACGGCGGUGUUUGGCACCUCGAUGUCGGCUCAUCACAUCCUGGGGCUGAAGUAGGUCCCAAGGGUAUGGCUGUUCGCCAUUUAAAGUGGUACGCGAGCUGGGUUUAGAACGUCGUGAGACAGUUCGGUCCCUAUCUGCCGUGGGCGCUGGAGAACUGAGGGGGGCUGCUCCUAGUACGAGAGGACCGGAGUGGACGCAUCACUGGUGUUCGGGUUGUCAUGCCAAUGGCACUGCCCGGUAGCUAAAUGCGGAAGAGAUAAGUGCUGAAAGCAUCUAAGCACGAAACUUGCCCCGAGAUGAGUUCUCCCUGACCCUUUAAGGGUCCUGAAGGAACGUUGAAGACGACGACGUUGAUAGGCCGGGUGUGUAAGCGCAGCGAUGCGUUGAGCUAACCGGUACUAAUGAACCGUGAGGCUUAACCUU
rnacentral:rRNA from 1 species